rnacentral:ribozyme from 1 species
UGCCCAGGAAUUCCUAUCCCUACCUCCUCGCGGUACUGACCGGGGUAAGAGCAAUCUAAGGGAAAAUCGG